rnacentral:rRNA from 1 species
AUUGAACGCUGGCGGCAGGCCUAACACAUGCAAGUCGAGCGGAUGAAGGGAGCUUGCUCCUGGAUUCAGCGGCGGACGGGUGAGUAAUGCCUAGGAAUCUGCCUGGUAGUGGGGGAUAACGUCCGGAAACGGGCGCUAAUACCGCAUCCGUCCUGAGGGAGAAAGUGGGGGAUCUUCGGACCUCACGCUAUCAGAGGAGCCUAGGUCGGAUUAGCUAGGUGGUGGGGUAAAGGCCUACCAAGGCGACGAUCCGUAACUGGUCGGAGAGGAUGAUCAGUCACACUGGAACUGAGACACGGUCCAGACUCAUACGGGAGGGAGCAGUGGGGAAUAGGAGACAAUGGGCGAGAGCCUGAUCCAGCCAUGGCGCGUGUGUGAAGAAGGUCUUCGGAUUGUAAAGCACUUUAUGUUGGGAGGAAGGGCAGUAAGUUACUACCUUGCUGUUUUGACGUUACCAACAGAAUAAGCACCGGCUAACUACGUG